GGCUCAGGACGAACGCUGGCGGCGUGCCUAAUACAUGCAAGUCGAACGGUCUUUCUAUGGAAGCUUGCUUCCACUGAAAAGAUAGUGGCGAACGGGUGAGUAACACGUGGGUAACCUGCCCAUAAGAGGGGGGAUAACAUCCGGAAACGGGUGCUAAUACCGCAUAGUUUUCUUGAUCGCAUGAUCGGGAAAGGAAAGACGGCCUUUGUGCUGUCGCUUAUGGAUGGACCCGCGGCGUAUUAGUUAGUUGGUGAGGUAACGGCUCACCAAGACGAUGAUACGUAGCCGACCUGAGAGGGUGAUCGGCCACAUUGGGACUGAGACACGGCCCAAACUCCUACGGGAGGCAGCAGUAGGGAAUCUUCCGCAAUGGACGAAAGUCUGACGGAGCAACGCCGCGUGAGUGAAGAAAGGUUUUCGGAUCGUAAAACUCUGUUGUCAGAGAAGAACAAGUUGGAGAGUAACUGCUCCAGCCUUGACGGUAUCUGACCAGAAAGCCACGGCUAACUACGUGCCAGCCGCCGC
rnacentral:rRNA from 1 species